UCCAGCAUGUGGCAGUGCCUCUUCCUUC
rnacentral:piRNA from 1 species